GGCCAGGGCUGCCUGGCUCUCUGUUGAGAGAAGGAGGGAACUGGACUUAAGGAUGCCUCUGCUGCCUGUCCUGGUCCACAGAGUUCCAGGGCCACAGUGCUCUGUCCCCGAAGACAGCAGGAGGAAGGGAUCACAGUGGAGAGCUAUCACCCUGACACCACGAGGGAUUGAGGUAACGGGUACUCCAAACGAGCCAAUCUCAGAGUCAGGGCAAAUAAGAGCAGAGUCUUCGAAGACUAGGACUGAAUAAAUCUCCCACCCCGAGAGAAUCAGCACCCUGAGACAAGGCAAUCGGUUCCAAAGCAUCUCCAAAGCACCACCUGGAGCAAAGAUUUCAGCCCAUGAACCUUAGGAUAUAUAUAUUCCAACAUUCACCUACAGCAG